rnacentral:tRNA from 1 species
GGCUUUGUGGCGGAAUGGUAGACGCGCUUGAUUCAAAAUCAAGUAUCUUCGGGUGUGAGGGUUCAAGUCCCUCCGAAGCCACCA